UUAAAGGAAUGCUGGAGUUGGAGAAAUGGCCAAAUGAUGAGGAUUGCGGGUUCCUUGAAAGGCUAAAGAUUAGUAACUGUCCCAGGCUGAAUGAGUUGCCAGAAUGCAUGCCAACCCUAGAAGUUAUGAAGAUCAAGAAGUGUUGCUCAUUAAAGGCUCUUCCCGUGACUCCAUCUCUGGAGUUCCUAAUACUUGUUGACAAUCUGGAACUGGAAAAUUGGAACGAAAGUCUGCUGGAGAUUACCACAAGUGACAAUGGCCAGGGUCAACACCGGCUGCUCCCUUCAUUUCAGGCACUUCUGGAAAUGAAAGCUAUCAACUGUCCCAAGCUGCGGGGCCUGCCACGGAUCUUUGCUCCUCAGAAACUGGAAAUAAGCGGGUGUGACUUAUUGAGCGCCCUACCGAAUUCAGAAUUCAGCCAGCGUCUUCAGCUUUUGGCUUUGGAAGGAUGUCCCGAUGGAACAUUAGUGAGAGCAAUACCCGAGACCAGGUCUCUGAACUUCAUGAUCCUUUCCAAAAUCUCAAACCUAGAUUCAUUUCCAAGAUGGCCUAAUCUUCCGGGGCUGAAGGCUUUGUACAUCAGAGACUGCAAAGACCUUGUGUCCUUAUCCGGAGAAGGAGCAUUGCAAAGCUUGACCUCGCUCAAUCUGU
rnacentral:lncRNA from 1 species